AAAUUGAAGAGUUUGAUCAUGGCUCAGAUUGAACGCUGGCGGCAGGCCUAACACAUGCAAGUCGAACGGUAACAGGAAGCAGCUUGCUGCUUUGCUGACGAGUGGCGGACGGGUGAGUAAUGUCUGGGAAACUGCCUGAUGGAGGGGGAUAACUACUGGAAACGGUAGCUAAUACCGCAUAACGUCGCAAGACCAAAGAGGGGGACCUUCGGGCCUCUUGCCAUCGGAUGUGCCCAGAUGGGAUUAGCUAGUAGGUGGGGUAACGGCUCACCUAGGCGACGAUCCCUAGCUGGUCUGAGAGGAUGACCAGCCACACUGGAACUGAGACACGGUCCAGACUCCUACGGGAGGCAGCAGUGGGGAAUAUUGCACAAUGGGCGCAAGCCUGAUGCAGCCAUGCCGCGUGUAUGAAGAAGGCCUUCGGGUUGUAAAGUACUUUCAGCGGGGAGGAAGGGAGUAAAGUUAAUACCUUUGCUCAUUGACGUUACCCGCAGAAGAAGCACCGGCUAACUCCGUGCCAGCAGCCGCGGUAAUACGGAGGGUGCAAGCGUUAAUCGGAAUUACUGGGCGUAAAGCGCACGCAGGCGGUUUGUUAAGUCAGAUGUGAAAUCCCCGGGCUCAACCUGGGAACUGCAUCUGAUACUGGCAAGCUUGAGUCUCGUAGAGGGGGGUAGAAUUCCAGGUGUAGCGGUGAAAUGCGUAGAGAUCUGGAGGAAUACCGGUGGCGAAGGCGGCCCCCUGGACGAAGACUGACGCUCAGGUGCGAAAGCGUGGGGAGCAAACAGGAUUAGAUACCCUGGUAGUCCACGCCGUAAACGAUGUCGACUUGGAGGUUGUGCCCUUGAGGCGUGGCUUCCGGAGCUAACGCGUUAAGUCGACCGCCUGGGGAGUACGGCCGCAAGGUUAAAACUCAAAUGAAUUGACGGGGGCCCGCACAAGCGGUGGAGCAUGUGGUUUAAUUCGAUGCAACGCGAAGAACCUUACCUGGUCUUGACAUCCACGGAAGUUUUCAGAGAUGAGAAUGUGCCUUCGGGAACCGUGAGACAGGUGCUGCAUGGCUGUCGUCAGCUCGUGUUGUGAAAUGUUGGGUUAAGUCCCGCAACGAGCGCAACCCUUAUCCUUUGUUGCCAGCGGUCCGGCCGGGAACUCAAAGGAGACUGCCAGUGAUAAACUGGAGGAAGGUGGGGAUGACGUCAAGUCAUCAUGGCCCUUACGACCAGGGCUACACACGUGCUACAAUGGCGCAUACAAAGAGAAGCGACCUCGCAAGCGGACCUCAUAAAGUGCGUCGUAGUCCGGAUUGGAGUCUGCAACUCGACUCCAUGAAGUCGGAAUCGCUAGUAAUCGUGGAUCAGAAUGCCACGGUGAAUACGUUCCCGGGCCUUGUACACACCGCCCGUCACACCAUGGGAGUGGGUUGCAAAAGAAGUAGGUAGCUUAACCUUCGGGAGGGCGCUUACCACUUUGUGAUUCAUGACUGGGGUGAAGUCGUAACAAGGUAACCGUAGGGGAACCUGCGGUUGGAUCACCUCCUUACCUUAAAGAAGC
rnacentral:rRNA from 1 species